CACGUAGGGAGCAAGCGUUGUCCGGAUUUAUUGGGCGUAAAGAGCUCGUAGGUGGUUCCGUAAGUCCGGUGUGAAACCUCCAGGCUCAACCUGGAGACGCCACCUGAUACUGCGGUGACUGGAGUCCGGUAGGGGAGCGUGGAAUUCCGGGUGUAGCGGUGGAAUGCGUAGAGAUCCGGAGGAACACCAGUGGCGAAGGCGAUCUGCUAGGCCUGACCUGACACUCAGACGCGACAGCAUGGGGAGCGAACGGG
rnacentral:rRNA from 1 species